CCGUGAAUUACAGGGCAAUUCUCCUUUGGCACCGGUAACGCAAGGCAGCAUGCAUGCAUGCAUGCUCUUUCUGGUGACCAUGCUGAUUAGCCGUGCACCUAGGCCCUAGCUUAGCUUGUGCCAAAGGAGAAUUGCCCUGCGAUUUUGCG
rnacentral:pre_miRNA from 1 species